GGGCCCGUAGUCUAGCUUGGCUAGGAUGCGGGGCACCUUCGCAAGAAGGCCCGACUCGGGACCAAGCGAGAAUCCCCGUGAUCCCGGGUUCAAAUCCCGGCGGGCCCA
rnacentral:tRNA from 1 species